rnacentral:pre_miRNA from 1 species
CGGGGGAGGCCGGAUCCUGGGCUGUGUCCCGGCGCCCUGUGCUCUGGGGCCUGCGCUUUUGGAUUUGCGCUCCCGCCCCGCAGCCCCCU